AACGAACGCUGGCGGCAUGCCUAACACAUGCAAGUCGAACGAGAGCUUCGGGACUACUUGCGCACGGGUGUGUAACGCGUGGGACGCUGCCCUUAGGCUCGGGAUAACACCCUGUAGGGGGUGCUAAUGCCGGAUAAUGUACUCGGACACAAGAUUUAUCGCCUUUGGAUGGGCCCGCGUUGGAUUAGCUGGUUGCUAUGGUAAAAGCCUACCAAGGGGACGAUCCAUAGCUUGUCUGAGAGGAAGGUCCGCCACACUGAGAGUGAGACACGGCCCGGAAUCCUACGGGAGGCGGCAGUGGGUAAUACUGGCCUAUCGCCGGAGGCCUGAUCCAGCUAUGCCUCGUGAGUCAUGAAGGCCUUAAAGUUGUAAAGCUGUUUUACCCGGGGUUGUAAUGACGGUACCGGGAGAAUAAGCUCCGGCUAACUCCGUG
rnacentral:rRNA from 1 species